UUAACAGUAGCGUUUUAACUGGCAUCAUUGAAGCUAUUGCAUGAUUCUUAUGCUCUUAGUUUUGAACUAGAUCUCAAUAAAUUAUGCACUUAUUAUGUGGUCAAGGUUAAUGUAUUUUCAGAUUUGACAUUGCCUGUAAUAAAACAUAAAGAAGGAACCUAGGUCAGGGAAGACGUCUGAUCAUGUGCCCAGGGGGCAGGAGCUGUCAUAAUAAGAUUGAACAUUAUUAUCUUACAGGGAAGUUAGAGCGAAUACAUUUUCCCGGUUUAGUGAAGCGUUGGUAGAAUAUUAAGCUGAGUUUUUUGAUGUCAUCGUAUCCGCUGUAGUUAUUACAUGAGUGUAAGAAGAUAUCUCCCUUGAUAAUUUCAACUGAAAUUAUCCUAGUAUUUGGGUGAAAGUUGAUUACCUUUUGGCGUCAAAGACUGUACUGAUGUUCAAGCUUGAUUUUUCUAUGCCCUCCCUGGAGUCUAUCCAGUUUCUAUAUGGAGUUAGCCUUGACAUCUUAAGGAAAAAGAUAUUUCCGUCAGAAAACCUCUCUGAAUAGAUGGAUGCUUUAUCUGAAUCGAAAACCACCUAAAUCCAGACGAAAAAGAGGGAGUUAUUUUUCUUUUAAAUCAGAUAAAAACCUUGCUGGUUUAUAGGAUUAUGGCUGAUUGUCCCCCUCUGACUGAGAUGGGCAAUUUGAACUGUGUUUGAUUGCAUUAUCAUUGGGUCAGAAAACACAAGUAUAUCAUUCAGAGAUUGUCAUGACCUAACUGAGCUGGAUUGUGGGCUAAUUAGGAUGUAAUCCAUUACAAUCGAAUCAUCUGUUCUUCAGACCACACCACUUCCUCGUUAAAGAAAAGAAAGAGAAUUUCCCGUUGAUGCUGAGGAAUCAAUGGGAAAAAAGAAAUGAAGAGAAUAGGUGGGUCAACACGAGAAUAUACAUGGCUUUCAAAGCAUCACCUAGGUAACUAGGACAAAUUAAACAUCUGGCCCAAACAGCCUGUUCACAGAAGCCUCAUCACGAAUUUUUGUCAUUUGGCAAAAUUUACAUGUAAAAAUAUUUUCAAUUUGAAAACAGUCCAGAAAAAUUAGAUAUUUCAAAUGAUCAAACG
rnacentral:lncRNA from 1 species